rnacentral:rRNA from 1 species
AGCGAACGCUGGCGGCAGGCCUAACACAUGCAAGUCGAACGAACCUUUCGGGGUUAGUGGCGGACGGGUGAGUAACACGUGGGAACGUGCCUUUAGGUUCGGAAUAACUCAGGGAAACUUGUGCUAAUACCGAAUGUGCCCUUCGGGGGAAAGAUUAAUCGCCUUUAGAGCGGCCCGCGUCUGAUUAGCUAGUUGGUUGAGGUAAUGGCUCACCAAGGCAACGAUCAGUAGCUGGUCUGAGAGGAUGAUCAGCCACAUUGGGACUGAGACACGGCCCAAACUCCUACGGGAAGCAGCAGUGGGGAAUCUUGCGCAAUGGGCGAAAGCCUGACGCAGCCAUGCCGCGUGAAUGAUGAAGGUCUUAGGAUUGUAAAAUUCUUUCACCGGGGACGAUAAUGACGGUACCCGGAGAAGAAGCCCCGGCUAACUUCGUG